rnacentral:rRNA from 1 species
UGGUAGUNCACGCCGUAAACGAUGAGUGCUAGGUGUUAGGCCCUUUCCGGGGCUUAGUGCCGGAGCUAACGCAAUAAGCACUCCGCCUGGGGAGUACGACCGCAAGGUUGAAACUCAAAGGAAUUGACGGGGGCCCGCACAAGCGGUGGAGCAUGUGGUUUAAUUNGAAGCAACGCGAAGANCCUUACCAGGUCUUGACAUCCCGAUGCUAUUCUUAGAGAUAGGAAGUUACUUCGGUACAUCGGAGACAGGUGGUGCAUGGUUGUCGUCAGCUCGUGUCGUGAGAUGUUGGGUUAAGUCCCGCAACGAGCGCAACCCUUAUUGUUAGUUGCCAUCAUUAAGUUGGGCACUCUAGCGAGACUGCCGGUAAUAAACCGGAGGAAGGUGGGGAUGACGUCAAAUCAUCAUGCCCCUUAUGACCUGGGCUACACACGUGCUACAAUGGUCGGUACAACGAGUUGCGAGCCGGUGACGGCAAGCUAAUCUCUGAAAGCCAGUCUCAGUUCGGAUUGUAGGCUGCAACUCGCCUACAUGAAGUCGGAAUCGCUAGUAAUCGCGGAUCAGCACGCCGCGGUGAAUACGUUCCCGGGCCUUGUACACACCGCCCGUCACACCACGAGAGUUUGUAACACCCGAAGUCGGUGAGGUANCCUUUUAGGAGCCA